UGGGGUUCGGCUCAGAGGUGAGCGCCUGCCUAGCACGCAGGAGGCCCUGGGUUCCAUCCCCAGCACCGCAA
rnacentral:tRNA from 1 species